UUCUGGCUACGAGGACGAACGCUGGCGGCGUGCCUAACACAUGCAAGUCGAACGGACGAGGAGAGCUUGCUCUCCGAGUUAGUGGCGAACGGGUGAGUAACGCGUGAGCAACCUGCCUUUCAGAGGGGGACAACGGUUGGAAACGACCGCUAAUACCGCAUGAUGCAUUUUGACCGCAUGAUCGAAAUGCCAAAGAUUUAUCGCUGAAAGAUGGGCUCGCGUCUGAUUAGAUAGCUGGUGGGGCAACGGCCUACCAAGUCGACGAUCAGUAGCCGGACUGAGAGGUUGAACGGCCACAUUGGGACUGAGAUACGGCCCAGACUCCUACGGGAGGCAGCAGUGGGGAAUAUUGGGACAAUGGGGGAAACCCUGACCCAGCAACGCCGCGUGAAGGAAGAAGGCUUUCGGGUUGUAAACUUCUCUUACCAGGGACGAAGGACGUGACGGUACCUGGAGAAAAAGCCACGGCUAACUACGUGCCAGCCGCCGC
rnacentral:rRNA from 1 species